GGGGGGGGCGUUUCCCCGCUCCCAGCCCGGCGCGCGCGGGCAGAGCCGGGCCGAGGCCCCGACAGCGGGCUACAGAAUAACAUCCAUGUUUUGAUCCGGAUCUUCCCACCCUUCCAGAGGAAAGACAAUGGCUGCAGCAGAGUUAGCUGAGGGGCUGGUGACCUUCGAGGAGGUGGCUGUGUAUUUCACCG